rnacentral:rRNA from 1 species
GGAUGAACGCUGGCGGUGUGCCUAAAGCAUGCAAGUCGAGCGAACAAUGAAGCUCUUCGGAGCUUCGGCGUUAGUGGCAGACGGGUGAGUAACACGUAGGAAUCUACCCAGUAGUGGGGAAUAGCCCUCCGAAAGGAGGGGUAAUACCGCAUACGCCCCUUGGGGGAAAGCAUUUAUGCGCUAUUGGAGGAGCCUGCGUCCUAUCAGCUAGUUGGUGAGGUAAUGGCUUACCAAGGCUAUGACGGGUAGCCGGUGUGAGAGCACGAUCGGCCACAAGGUUACUGAGACACGGAACCUACACCUACGGGUGGCAGCAACUAGGAAUCUUGCGCAAUGGGCGAAAGCCUGACGCAGCGACACCGCGUGUGGGAAGACGGCCUUCGGGUUGUAAACCACUGUGGCAGGGGAGCAAGCUCUGAGAGUACCCUGCUAGAAAGCACCUGCUAACUACGUGCCAGAAGCCUCGGUAAUACGUAGGGUGCGAGCGUUAUCCGGAGUUAUUGGGCGUAAAGCGUUACGUCGGCGGGUAAGUCAGUGAUAUGUCUAAGCCUGGGGCUCAACUCCAGACCGGCAUGUCAUACUGCUUAUCUUGAGGACACUAGAGGAAACUGGAACUCUCGGUGGAGGGGUGAAAUCCGUAGAUAUCGAGAGGAACGCCAAGGGUGAAGACCGGUUUCUGGGGUGUUCCUGACGCUCAUGUACGACAGCUUGGGUAGCAAAGCGGAUUAGAGACCCGUGUAGUCCAAGCCGUAAACGCUGGAUACUAGCUGUUCCUCCAUUUUGGGGGAGUGGCGUAAGCUAACGCGUUAAG